rnacentral:rRNA from 1 species
CUACGGGCGGCUGCAGUCGAGGAUUUUUCUCAAUGGGGGCAACCCUGAAGGAGCGACGCCGCGUGGAGGAUGAAGGGCUUCGGCUCGUAAACUCCUGUCACCGACGAACAAGACAUCCGGAUUAAUAAAUCGGAUGUUUGAUGGUAGUCGGAGAGGAAGGGGCGGCUAACUCUGUGCCAGCAGCCGCGGUGAUACAGAGGCCCCAAGCGUGUUCGGAUUUACUGGGCGUAAAGGGUGUGUAGGGGGUCGGGUAAGUUUGACGGGAAAUCCCGUUGCUCAACAACGGAACUGCGUCGAAUACUGCUCGGCUGGAGGUUCGGAGAUGAGGGCGGAAUUCUCGGUGUAGCGGUGAAAUGCGUAGAUAUCGAGAGGAACGCCGAUAGCGAAAGCAGCCCUCAAGACGAAAUCUGACCCUGAAACACGAAGGCCAGGGGAGCAAACGGGAUUAGAUACCCGCGUAGUC